AGCGAACGCUGGCGGCAGGCCUAACACAUGCAAGUCGAGCGCCGUAGCAAUACGGAGCGGCAGACGGGACAGUAACACGUGGGAACGUACCCUUUGGUUCGGAACAACCCAGGGAAACUUUGGCUAAUACCGGAUAAGCCCUUACGGGGACAGAUUUAUCGCCGAAGGAUCGGCCCGCGUCUGAUUAGCUAGUUGGUGGGGUAACGGCUCACCAAGCCGACGAUCAGUAGCUGGUCUGAGAGGAUGAUCAGGCUCACUGGGACUGAGACACGGCCCAGACUCAUACGGGAGGCAGCAGUGAGGAAUAGUGGACAAGGGGCGCAAGCCUGAUCCAGCCAUGCCGCGUGGGUGAUGAAGGUCCUAGGGUUGUAAAGCCCUUUCGGCGGGGAAGAUAAUGACGGUACCCGCAGAAGAAGCCCCGGCUAACUUCGUGCCAGCAGCCGCGGUAACAC
rnacentral:rRNA from 1 species